rnacentral:rRNA from 1 species
GACGAACGCUGGCGGCGUGCUUAACACAUGCAAGUCGAACGGAAAGGCCUCUUUCGGGGGGUACUCGAGUGGCGAACGGGUGAGUAACACGUGAGUAACCUGCUCUUGACUUUGGGAUAACUUCAGGAAACUGGGGCUAAUACCGGAUAGGAGCUCCUGCUGCAUGGUGGGGGUUGGAAAGUUUCGGCGGUUGGGGAUGGACUCGCGGCUUAUCAGCUUGUUGGUGGGGUAGUGGCUUACCAAGGCUUUGACGGGUAGCUGGCCCGAGAGGGUGACCGGCCACAUUGGGACUGAGGUACGGCCCAGACGCCUACGGGAGGCAGCAGUGGGGAAUAUUGCACAAGGGGUGGAAGCCUGAUGCAGCAGCGCCGUGUGCGGGAUGACGGCCUUCGGGUGGUAAACCGCUUUCGCUCAUGACGAAGCUUUGUGUGACGGUAGUGGGUAAAGAAGCACCGGCUAACUACGUG